UUCUUCGGAAGAUAUUUCCGUGGCGGACGGGUGAGUAACGCGUAAAGAAAUUUGCCCUUCAGACUGGGACAAUCUAACCGAAAGGUUAGCUAAUACCGGAUAUUAUGAGACCUCGGCGUCCGAGGGCUUAUGAAAGCUAUAUGCCCUUGAGGAGAACUUUGCGUCCCAUUAGGUAGUUGGUAGGGUAAUGGCCUACCAAGCCGACGAUGGGUAGCCGGCCUGAGAGGGGUGAACGGCCACAAGGGGACUGAGACACGGCCCUUACUCCUACGGGAGGCAGCAGUGGGGAAUAUUGGACAAUGGACCAAAAGUCUGAUCCAGCAAUUCUGUGUGCACGAUGAAGGUCUUCGGAUUGUAAAGUGCUUUCAGUGGGGAAGAAGAAAGUGACGGUACCCACAGAAGAAGCGACGGCUAAAUACGUGCCAGCAGCCGCGGUAAUACGUAUGUCGCAAGCGUUAUCCGGAAUUAUUGGGCGUAAAGCGAGUCUAGGCGGCUUGUUAAGUCAGAUGUGAAAAUGCGGGGCUCAACUCCGUAUUGCGUUUGAAACUGGCAGGCUAGAGUACUGGAGAGGUGGGCGGAACUACAAGUGUAGAGGUGAAAUUCGUAGAUAUUUGUAGGAAUGCCGAUAGUGAAGACAGCUCACUGGACAGAUACUGACGCUAAAGCUCGAAAGCGUGGGGAGCAAACAGGGAUUUAGAUAACCCUGGUAGUCCACGCCGUAAACGAUGUUCACUGGGUGUAGGGGGACGAACCUCUGUGCCGA
rnacentral:rRNA from 1 species